rnacentral:tRNA from 1 species
GCCCGUCUAGCUCAGUUGGUAGAGCGCAAGGCUCUGAUCCUUGUGGUCGUGGGUUCGAGCCCCACGGUGGGCG